GAACGAGAAGCCACCUUCGGGUGGUGGACAGUGGCAGACGGGUGAGUAACGCGUGGGAACGUGCCUUUCGGUUCGGGAUAACCCAGGGAAACUUGGGCUAAUACCGGAUAAGCCCUUACGGGGAAAGAUUCAUCGCCGAAGGAUCGGCCCGCGUCUGAUUAGCUAGUUGGUGGGGUAAUGGCCCACCAAGGCGACGAUCAGUAGCUGGUCUGAGAGGAUGAUCAGCCUCACUGGGACUGAGACACGGCCCAGACUCCUACGGGAGGCAGCAGUGGGGAAUAUUGGACAAUGGGCGCAAGCCUGAUCCAGCCAUGCCGCGUGGGUGAUGAAGGCCCUAGGGUUGUAAAGCCCUUUCGGCGGGGAAGAUAAUGACGGUACCCGCAGAAGAAGCCCCGGCUAACUUCGUG
rnacentral:rRNA from 1 species